rnacentral:rRNA from 1 species
AUUGAACGCUGGCGGCAUGCUUUACACAUGCAAGUCGAACGGCAGCACGGGGGCAACCCUGGUGGCGAGUGGCGAACGGGUGAGUAACACAUCGGAACGUGUCCAGUUGUGGGGGAUAACCCAUCGAAAGGUGGGCUAAUACCGCAUGAGCUGGCAACAGGAAAGCGGGGGACCCGCAAGGGCCUUGUGCGAUUGGAGCGGCCGAUGUCCGAUUAGCUAGUUGGUGGGGUAAAGGCCUACCAAGGCUUCGAUCGGUAGCCGGUCUGAGAGGAUGAUCAGCCACACUGGGACUGAGACACGGCCCAGACUCCUACGGGAGGCAGCAGUGGGGAAUUUUGGACAAUGGGGGCAACCCUGAUCCAGCCAUGCCGCGUGAGU